UGGAUUCCACCCGGUAUAUUCUUUAAGAUUUCUGGACUAAGAAAAUUUAUUAAUUUUAUUUUUUAAGUUAGCUCGCUUAAACUGCAUUAAAAUCUCUAUCAUUAUCAAAACUCUUCUCGACUUCCACAAACACUUACAUAUUUCAAACAUCUGUCACAUUAACCAACAAAAAAAAAAAAGAAAGAAAAAAGAAAGAAAAUGUAUACAAAAUAUCACAAAUUGCUCAAGACUCAAAUACCAGAGCAAAGCAAGACAACAAAUAUUUGCCUUAAACGCAUUGAAUAGCAUAAUCGAAACAAGUUUAACCAAAUUAUAUAAUUGCUGUCACAUAUCAUCAUAGUGAGCACAGUUAUGUUUCAAAUGGCUUUUAACUGGUUUUCAUAUUUGGGGCCGGUAAUUAUCAUGCAAAAGUUCACAAGCGACCAGGAACAUGUAAGAGACAAAAGUAAAACAAAACAAAACAAAAAUUACGAGCACUUUGGGUGCUUAUAGAUAUGGCAAAAAUGACUUCUACACAGACAAUAAAAGAGCCAACUUAAAAGGUAGCUGACAUUUGAUGGGCUGCGGCCCGCGACAGAGCCUACCACAAAUAUGGCCAAGGCACGCGUGAUUUAUGGCCAAGUUGAGUGCGUUGUGCGUUUGUACGUUGUAAGCUCUACGCUCUAUACGCAUUGCCUACGGCGUCUCGGAGAUCUAUGUAUCUCGCUCCCGGCCAAUUGCGUGCGGUUAAGAAUGUGUGUGUGUGUGUGUGUGUGUGUGUGUGUGUGUGUGUGUGUGUGUGUGUGUGUGUGUGUGUGUGUGUGUGUGUAAAGGAGAAUCAUUUUCAAAGUGUUGCGAGUUCAACGCCGCCGCUCCAUUGGGCUGGCUGUUCGGUUACGCUUGAUGGCGGCUAAAACAAUUACAGUGCCGCGUUGUAGUUGCAGUUGCAAUUUGCAACAUGCAACACUGAUCCCGACGGCAGCUAAAACAAUGCAGUCACACACACACACAAACACCACGCAUCACAUUGCCAAUCAAAAUUGUUAACAUAUUGUGGAAAGUAAAGGCUCAGAAACAAAAGCGAGCCAACUCAACAGUCUGGUACAAAAACAUCAGCAACAUCGCGCUAGUUAAAUACAACAACAACAACAACAACCAUAAUAGAGUUUGUGCACAGUGUGCGAAAUCAAGAUAUAAAUUAAAAAUUUGAAUUAGCUACUUGCAUUAUAUUACUAUGAGCGUUAAUGAAAUAGAGUCAGGAGAAAUUUAAAUAUAUUUUUAUGUGAAAAUGUUA